rnacentral:rRNA from 1 species
UACGGGGGGGGCAAGCGUUGUUCGGAAUUACUGGGCGUAAAGGGCUCGUAGGCGGCCAACUAAGUCAGACGUGAAAUCCCUCGGCUCAACCGGGGAACUGCGUCUGAUACUGGAUGGCUAGAGUUUGGGAGAGGGAUGCGGAAUUCCAGGUGUAGCGGUGAAAUGCGUAGAUAUCUGGAGGAACACCGGUGGCGAAGGCGGCAUCCUGGACCAACACUGACGCUGAGGAGCGAAAGCCAGGGGAGCAAACGGG